rnacentral:tRNA from 1 species
GGAGUGGUGGCUCAGUGGUAGAGUGCUUGCCUUGCAAGCAUGAGGCUCUGGGUUCAAUUCUCAGCACUGCA